GACGAACGCUGGCGGCGUGCCUAAUACAUGCAAGUUGAGCGCUGAAGGUUGGUACUUGUACCGGCUGGAUGAGCAGCGAACGGGUGAGUAACGCGUGGGGAAUCUGCCUUUGAGCGGGGGACAACAUUUGGAAACGAAUGCUAAUACCGCAUAAAAACUUUAAACACAAGUUUUAAGUUUGAAAGAUGCAAUUGCAUCACUCAAAGAUGAUCCCGCGUUGUAUUAGCUAGUUGGUGAGGUAAAGGCUCACCAAGGCGAUGAUACAUAGCCGACCUGAGAGGGUGAUCGGCCACAUUGGGACUGAGACACGGCCCAAACUCCUACGGGAGGCAGCAGUAGGGAAUCUUCGGCAAUGGACGAAAGUCUGACCGAGCAACGCCGCGUGAGUGAAGAAGGUUUUCGGAUCGUAAAACUCUGUUGGUAGAGAAGAACGUUGGUGAGAGUGGAAAGCUCAUCAAGUGACGGUAACUACCCAGAAAGGGACGGCUAACUACGUG
rnacentral:rRNA from 1 species